ACUUCGCGAAUUUCUGAUAUUCCCGCGCUCAUCAAGCAAAACAAACGUGGCUAACUAGCUAGCGUUAGCUCUUCUUAUAAAUAUAUAUCUUAUAUUCUUAAAUAUUUUAUUAACGUUAUAUACAUCUAUAUGGAGGCUGAAACUUUUUUGGACGUUUUUUGCCUGGGACCAAAGAAGACGACGGUAAUCCAUGGAAGGUGACAUGAAGUCUAGUCAUGUUUGAGCCCAGUGAAAGCGCGGGUGAAUUGGGGCUCACCAUUGUGGAAUCCGGUCAUAUGUUGGUGUCCCAAGGUCACGAUCUUCUGAUAAGAUGGGUUUUCCUUGCUUGAUGCUCCAAGCUUCCUCAAAGUUCAGCAGAAAUCAGAUACCCUACUUUUCCGUCUGACUGUUAAGUCUUGGCACAGCUAGCUGGCUGCGAGCAGUGCUUUGGCUGCUCAUGUGCAGUACUCAGUGUGAAGGAGUACCUGCCUGUCACCACACAGGGGGGGCCACCACCACCACUCAGCUGCACCCCAACAUCCAAUCAGCCCCCUACCAAGACCACUGCACAGGAUCAACAGCACUUCCUGGGCGAGCAUGGUCUGUCCUUGCCCCUGGUGCCACAGUGCUCUGUUCUGUGGGGAGCUGGAGCCCUUCCUCCGACUGUGUCUCUUGGACCCCAGCUUCCCUGCCUUGGUGGAGGAGGUGGAAGGGGAGCUGAAGAGAGUGCUCCAGGACUGAGGAGCUGAAGCACAUCAACACGAACAGCCAGAGGGAGACAGGUCAACUCACUACACACAGUACACAUGUGGGUGGGAGGUGGGUUGUGGAAGAGUUGGGGGAUGUGUUGUUUAGAGGUCGACCGAUUAAUCGGAAUGGCCGAUUAAUUAGGGCUGAUUUCAAGUUUUCAUAACAAUCAGAAAUCGGUAUUUUUGGACACCGAUUUGGCCUAUUUUAUUUUUAAAAGAA